GACGAACGCUGGCGGCGUGCUUAACACAUGCAAGUCGAACGGAAAGGCCCUGCUUUUGUGGGGUGCUCGAUUGGCGCACGGGUGAGUAACACGUGAGUAACCUGCCCUUGUCUUUCUGAUAACUUCAGGAAACUGCGGCUCAUACCGGAUAGGAUCUCCUGCUCCAUGUUGGGGGUUGGAAAGUUUCGGCGGUUGGGGAUGGACUCGCGGGUUAUCAGCUUGUUGGUGUGGUAGUUGAAUACCAAGGUUUCGACGGGUAGCCGGCCUGAGAGGGUGACCAGCGACAUUGGGACUGAGAGACGGCCCAGUCGCCUACGGGAGGCAACAGUGGAGAAUAUUACACAAUGGGGGGAAGCCUGAGGCAGCGACGCCGCGUGCGGGAUGACGGCCUUCGGGUUGUAAACCGCUUUCGCCUGUGACGAAGCGUGAGUGACGGUAAUGGGUAAAGAAGCACCGGCUAACUACGUG
rnacentral:rRNA from 1 species